rnacentral:rRNA from 1 species
UACGCAGGCGGCCAUAUAAGUCAGAAGUGAAAGGCUACGGCUUAACCGUAGUAAGCUUUUGAAACUGUAUGGCUUGAGUGCAGGAGAGGAAAGCGGAAUUCCUAGUGUAGCGGUGAAAUGCGUAGAUAUUAGGAAGAACACCAGUAGCGAAGGCGGCUUUCUGGACUGAAACUGACGCUGAGGUACGAAAGCGUGGGGAGCGAACAGGAUUAGAUACCCUGGUAGUCC